UGCAGUCGAGCGGCAGCGGGAAAGUAGCUUGCUACUUUUGCCGGCGAGCGGCGGACGGGUGAGUAAUGCCUGGGGAUCUGCCCAGUCGAGGGGGAUAACAGUUGGAAACGACUGCUAAUACCGCAUACGCCCUACGGGGGAAAGGAGGGGACCUUCGGGCCUUUCGCGAUUGGAUGAACCCAGGUGGGAUUAGCUAGUUGGUGGGGUAAUGGCUCACCAAGGCGACGAUCCCUAGCUGGUCUGAGAGGAUGAUCAGCCACACUGGAACUGAGACACGGUCCAGACUCCUACGGGAGGCAGCAGUGGGGAAUAUUGCACAAUGGGGGAAACCCUGAUGCAGCCAUGCCGCGUGUGUGAAGAAGGCCUUCGGGUUGUAAAGCACUUUCAGCGAGGAGGAAAGGUUGGCGCCUAAUACGUGUCAACUGUGACGUUACUCGCAGACGAAGCACCGGCUAACUCCGUGCCAGCAGCCGCGGUAAUACGGACGGUGCAAGCGUUAAUCGGAAUUACUGGGCGUAAAGCGCACGC
rnacentral:rRNA from 1 species